GAAGGCAGCAGGCGCGCAAAUUACCCAAUCCUGAUACAGGGAGGUAGUGACAAUAAAUAACAAUACCGGGGUUUUUCAACUCUGGUAAUUGGAAUGAGUACAAUCUAAAUCCCUUAACGAGGAUCAAUUGGAGGGCAAGUCUGGUGCCAGCAGCCGCGGUAAUUCCAGCUCCAAUAGCGUAUAUUUAAGUUGUUGCAGUUAAAAAGCUCGUAGUUGGAUUUCGGGCGGGGCCUGCCGGUCCGCCUUUGGUGUGCACUGGCAGGGUCCGCCUUGCUGUCGGGGACGGGUUCCUGGGCUUUACUGUCUGGGACUCGGAGUCGACGUGGUUACUUUGAGUAAAUUAGAGUGUUCAAAGCAGGCUUACGCUCUGAAUACAUUAGCAUGGAAUAACGCGAUAGGACUCUGGCCUAUCUUGUUGGUCUGUGGGACCGGAGUAAUGAUUAAGAGGGACAGUCGGGGGCAUUCGUAUUUCAUUGUCAGAGGUGAAAUUCUUGGAUUUAUGAA
rnacentral:rRNA from 1 species